CCUACGGGUGGCAGCAGUAGGGAAUAUUGCUCAAUGGGGGAAACCCUGAAGCAGCAACGCCGCGUGGAGGAUGAAGGCUUUCGGAUUGUAAACCCCUUUUGGUAGAGAAGAAAAUGACGGUAUCUAACGAAUAAUCACCGGCUAACUCCGGUCCAGCAGCCGCGGUAAUACGGAGGGUUCAAGCGUUACGCGGAAUUACUGGGCGUAAAGAGCGCGGAGGCGGGCUAGCAAGUCAGAUGUGAAAUCCUAUGGCUUAACCAUAGAACUGCAUUUGAAACUGUUAUUCUAGAGUAUUGGAGAGGUAGGUGGAAUUCUUGGUGUAGCGGUGAAAUGCGUAGAGAUCAAGAGGAAUACUGAUUGCGAAGGCGGCCUACUAGAACAUAACUGACGCUGAUGCGCGAAAGCGUGGGGAGCAAACAGGAUUAGAUACCCGUGUAGUC
rnacentral:rRNA from 1 species